GAUGAAGAACGUAGCGAAAUGCGAUACUUGGUGUGAGUUGCAGAAUCCCGUGAACCAUCGAGUCUUUGAACGCAAGUUGCGCCCGAAGCCAUCAGGUUGAGGGCACGUCUGCCUGGGCGUCACAUAUCGUUGCCCAAUGCCUAUUGCAGUGCAAUAGGAAUUUCUAGGGCGAAUGAUGGCUUCCCGUGAGCGUUGUUGCCUCGCGGUUGGUUGAAAAUCGAGUCCUUGGUAGGGUGUGCCAUGGUAGAUGGUGGUCGAGUUAGAACGAUACCGAUCAUGUGCAUGCUCCCCAAAAUAUGGCCUCUAUGACCCACACGCGUCUUUUGACGCUCAUGACGAGACCUCAGGUCAGGCGGGGCUACCAGCUGAAUUUAAGCAUAUCAAUAAGCGGAGGA
rnacentral:misc_RNA from 1 species